rnacentral:rRNA from 1 species
GAGUUUGAUCCUGGUUCAGGACGAACGCUGGCGGCACGCCUAACACAUGCAAGUCGAACGGAGAUAAUUGAGUUUACUUAAUUAUCUUAGUGGCGGACGGGUGAGUAACACGUGAGCAACCUGCCUCUGAGAGAGGGAUAGCUUCUGGAAACGGAUGGUAAUACCUCAUAACAUAUGCUUAAGGCAUCUUAGGCAUAUCAAAGAUUUAUCACUCAGAGAUGGGCUCGCGUCUGAUUAGCUAGAUGGUGAGGUAACGGCUCACCAUGGCGACGAUCAGUAGCCGGACUGAGAGGUUGAACGGCCACAUUGGGACUGAGACACGGCCCAGACUCCUACGGGAGGCAGCAGUGGGGAAUAUUGCACAAUGGGGGAAACCCUGAUGCAGCGAUGCCGCGUGGAGGAAGAAGGUUUUCGGAUUGUAAACUCCUGUCUUAAAGGACGAUAAUGACGGUACUUUAGGAGGAAGCUCCGGCUAACUACGUGCCAGCAGCCGCGGUAAUACGUAGGGAGCGAGCGUUGUCCGGAAUUACUGGGUGUAAAGGGAGCGUA